rnacentral:tRNA from 1 species
UGAGUUGUGGCUCAGCGGUAGAGCGCUCACUUUUCACGAGGUACUGGGUUUGAUUCUCAGCACCACAU